UAAUAAGUGUUUUAUGGCACUUUUAAAUCCAUAUCCACCUUGUGUGCAAUGUCAGUCGAUCUUCUUCAUGGAGAUCGACCAAACAUCAACCUUUAUCUUCUAACUCUUUGUCUGAAAAAUAUUAUGAAUAAACAAUUCAAAAUA
rnacentral:misc_RNA from 1 species